rnacentral:rRNA from 1 species
GAUGAACGCUAGCUACAGGCUUAACACAUGCAAGUCGAGGGGCAGCGGGAUUGAAGCUUGCUUCAAUCGCCGGCGACCGGCGCACGGGUGAGUAACGCGUAUCCAACCUUCCGUACACUCAGGGAUAGCCUUUCGAAAGAAAGAUUAAUACCUGAUGGUAUGAUGAGAUUGCAUGAUAGCAUCAUUAAAGAUUUAUCGGUGUACGAUGGGGAUGCGUUCCAUUAGGUAGUAGGCGGGGUAACGGCCCACCUAGCCAACGAUGGAUAGGGGUUCUGAGAGGAAGGUCCCCCACAUUGGAACUGAGACACGGUCCAAACUCCUACGGGAGGCAGCAGUGAGGAAUAUUGGUCAAUGGACGAGAGUCUGAACCAGCCAAGUAGCGUGAAGGAUGACUGCCCUAUGGGUUGUAAACUUCUUUUUANAAAGGAAUAAAGUCGGGUAUGGAUACCCGUUUGCAUGUACUUUAUGAAUAAGGAUCGGCUAACUCCGUGCCAGCAGCCG